rnacentral:lncRNA from 10 species
CUUGCUUAGUCGCUCGGCUGGCCCGGCUCACCUUCGGGGUGAAGGCUACCAGCGAGCGUUAUAGCAGACGACUUUAAUAAAUGCAGGCGGCAGCAGGAACUCUGGGAACUUGGGUGCCCUUGCCUGGCAGUAAGGGUUGAAUUAUCCGGAUCUGAAAUACUUUACAGAGCCGAGGGGUGAUAGGCUCUGCAAAAGCACUUUUUGCCCCUCUCCUUUAUGCCAAUACUCGCUGACUGUGCACACAAGUCAUAUUCAGUAUUAAAUACAAACCGGUCUGUAAUUCAAUGGCUCUAGCAAGACGCCUCUGAGAGGGCCAGGUGGCGGGUGCAAGUUGCUCAUUAACCCUUUAGAGUCGCAGUUUGCAGAUCUGAGUUAGAUCCCCGGCUUUGAGGUCCUUCAGUUGCCCUCCUCCCCCACCUCCCCCCGCCACUGCGAGAAAAAUGUGCAAAGAGAAGGAAAUUUGCACAUCAAACGAGGGGCAAUCGCGGCGGUAGAUGAACUUGAUUAGGCAGACGCGUGAGAUCAAAGUGGCCGGGACCAAAGCGGACAGGGUCCAACGUGCCAGCACUGCCAAGAGAAGGCCUUUUGUACUCAGGUUAAAUAAGAACAUCCUGCAAGGAGUCUGUUCUUUUAUGCAGCCUAAAGAUCAAGUAAUAAUCAUUGACACUGAUACUGAGCAUGUCGAUUUUGAAGAGACUAGCAUUUCCUGGUAAUGAAGUGGAGUAUAUAUCCAUAUAUUUCUGUUUUCUGGAUGAGAAGACUAACCUAACUAAGUAGGAACCUUGAAGAAUCAUGUUCUUCCUAGGAAUUACAAAUCCCCCGAUUCCAUGUCUAACAUAAUUUCUACUGGCCUCUUUGCUUCUCAUGCUUUAGUACCAGUGCUUCUGAAUUUGAAAGUCUUCAUGCAAAUUGCCCAGCUGACAGGGCAGCCACUGUUGAGGAAAUGCUGAUCACAACAUCACAGGUAAAGGAGAAUGUAAUGAAGCAAGAACUGGCUCUUAAAGCUUCUGUUUGCAGCAGUGACAAGGCUCACCUUUCAACCGCCAAAGCAAGUCAAAAAGCCAAACCUGACUUACAUGGCACAGAAAAGUGCCCCAGGGAGGGAAAUCAGACAUUGAUGAACUGUGGCCAAAAUCCAGCUGAGCCAGCGCUCAGGUCACCAGUAUCAUUUCUCCCCAGAGGACUAAGAGUCCUCCUGCAAAUUAACUCCUAGUAUCCUGCACUGAUGUACCAGAUACCAGAGGUUUGCUGGCAGCUGUGUCUCAGAAAAAGCUGUCUUCAGCAAGGCAGAAGCAGACCAGGGUGGUCCAGAGUUGGUGACUAUUAUGGCAUGGCUACCCAGGGCCAGAGAGGUGAGGUUUAAUGAGAAAGAAGAUAGAUGAAAAUGACUCCUCCUCCUGCUUUCACUGCUGCAGCAACUCAGGCCUGCAGACAAGAUCCAGCUCUAUUGCCCAAGCUGGAGUGCAGUGGUGAGAUAAUGAUUCACUGCAGCCUUGAUCUCCUGGGCUCAAGCAGUUCUCCUGCCUCAGCCUCCUGAGUAGCUGGGACCACAGGCACCCUCCACCAUGUCUGGCCAAAAUUUUUUGAAUUUUUUGUAGAGACCAGGUUUCACCAUGUUGCCCAGGCUGAUUUCAAAUUCCUGGGCUCAAGUGAUCUUCCUGCCUCAGCCUCUCAAAGUGCUGAGAUUACAAGUGUGAGCCACCACACCCAGCCAAAAUAUAAAUACGCCUUUAAUAGUAACACCUAAUUACCUAACACCAUCAAAAAUGGGGUGCUCCAUGAAGAAGCACAUAAUUCAAAUUAUUGAAGUUUAUCCCUUCUAAUGACCACAUAGAUUUCUCUUGCCCCAUUAAAAAAUUAGAUAAUCAGUAUUUCUAGGAUAGUUGUUUUCUUCCAACCAAUUAAGGCAUAAUCUAUGUAGCAGAACAUUCAGAGGAUGAUGCCUGGUCAACAUUUGAAUAAACAAUCACUGUGAUGUUACCUCUAUUUAAGAUGACUCCAAUAAAACUUCUAUGGUUUGCAUUAUUAGUUGAUCAGACUUUAAGCAUUAUCUUUUGAUAGGGUCAAGGAACCUGUCUUAACUCCCCAUCUCUGACCAAAAUAUACUUGUUUUCUAUAAGCUAUAAAGCCAGAUAGCCAAUUUUAUGAGAAUUGUCCCUAUACUAUAUCCAUGUGAGCGAUGAGUGCCUGGCAUGAAGAUGCAUAAAGGAGGCAGUAAUAUACAACAACUGAAGCAUAACCUCUGGAGCCAGUCUUCUUCAGACAAAUCCCAAUUCCAUUACUCACUGGCCACCUAAACAAGCUACUUAAUUCAUCUGCCUCAGUUUUCUUCAACUGUUUAAUGGGUAUGAUCAACAAACCAACUUCAGUGGGUUAUCAUAAAUAUUAAUAAAUGAGAGAAUGCAUGUGAAACAAAGCUAUAAGCAAUCAUU